ACUGUGUAAUGGAAAUGGCAGGCCAAACCCAAAACUUUCUCACGAUUUUGCUCCUCUCUCUCCUCGUCUCCUUCAACACUGUCUCUGCAUCAAGUUCCUACAUUUACAGGGGCUGCAGUUAUGAUCCACCUUGGCCAAGAUUUUCCAGCCUCCCAAGCUGCUCACCAGAAGAAUCAGCCACCACAAAAGUUGUUCAAUGGCAGAAUGGAUUUACAGUACGGUGACUAUCCAGUUUCUGGAGCUAAUCCUCGCCACACUCCAAAGCCACCCCCGGGGAGAGUUUAAUUAAGAUAAAAAAAAAAAAUUAUAGAAAUCAUCAAUUCAGCUUCUGUGAACUUAACUUAAUCAUGGUUAUUUGAGACUUCAAGUUCCAUCAGAUUGAAGUUUUGUUGCAGCCCCAAAAAGAAUCACAAAUCUAUUCUGUUUCGUGAAUUGUUCGGCUAAAAAUUGACUCACAAUUUCACUCCACAAUUGCUGAAAUCAUAUUCAUGAGUUACUAUUAAAGAUUUUUGUUCUAAGCUAGACUAAUAACACAUAAUCCAGAGACAGACCAAGGGGGGAAAUUUUGAGAAUCGACUGGAGGAUUUCGAAUUGAAUCCCCAUUUGUGAUGGCAUUGUCAAAAGAGACUCACCC